GACGAACGCUGGCGGCGUGCUUAACACAUGCAAGUCGAGCGGUAAGGCCCUUUCGGGGGUACGACGAGCGGCGAACGGGUGAGUAACACGUGGGUGACCUGCCCUCAGCUCUGGGAUAAGCCUGGGAAACCGGGUCUAAUACCGGAUAUGACUCCAUGACGCAUGUUGUGGGGUGGAAAGCCUUGUGCGGCUGAGGAUGGGCCCGCGGCCUAUCAGCUUGUUGGUGGGGUGANGGCCUACCAAGGCGACGACGGGUAGCCGGCCUGAGAGGGCGACCGGCCACACUGGGACUGAGACACGGCCCAGACUCCUACGGGAGGCAGCAGUGGGGAAUCUUGCGCAAUGGGCGAAAGCCUGACGCAGCGACGCCGCGUGAGGGAUGACGGCCUCGG
rnacentral:rRNA from 1 species